GUCAGGAUGGCCGAGCGGUCUAAGGCGCUGCGUUCAGGUCGCAGUCCGGUCUUCCGGGCGUGGGUUCGAAUCCCACAUCUGACA
rnacentral:tRNA from 1 species